CGAAAAUUAGCCACUUGUCAUUUUCUAAUUGGUUCUUAGUGUGUUAAAAAAACUUCUAAAAUCAAUUAGAAAAUGACAAGUGGUUAGUUUUGA
rnacentral:pre_miRNA from 1 species